rnacentral:rRNA from 1 species
GACGAACGCUGGCGGCGUGCUUAACACAUGCAAGUCGAGCGGAGCGGCGAACGGGUGAGUAACGCGUGAGUAACUGCCCCCCCCUCCGGGAUAACAGUUGGAAAAGGCUGCUAAUACCGGAUAGUGGGGGAUGACUCGCGUCCUAUCAGCUUGUUGGUGGGGUAGUGGCCUAACAAGGCGACGACGGGUAGCCGGCCUGAGAGGGCGACCGGCCACAUUGGGCUCGGAUACGACCCCAACUCCUACGGGAGGCAGCAGUGGGGAAGAUUGCACAAUGGGGGAAGCCCUAGUGCAGCAACGCCGCGUGCGGGAUGACGGCCUUCGGGUUGGAAACCGCUUUCAGCCAUGACGCGGUAGUGGCAGAAGAAGCACCGGCUAACUACGUGCCAGCAGCCGCGGUAAUAC